CUUUGUCUCUUCCUCUCAUUCUCUUUUCUCUUUUUCUGUUUAGAUCUGUUUCUCUCUCAUUACUUUCUCUUUUUCAUUCUCACUACCAGCUGGAGAGAAAGAGGUAGACAUAGAAUGAGAGAGAAUAAAAAAGGGAGAAAGAAAAAGAGAAAGACAAGGAGAAAGAAUUAGAGAGAGGAAGAUACAGAAAGACACAGUAUGAGAGAGCCAUAGAGAGAAAGAGAGUGAGGAAAACAUAAAGAAAAAUAGGAGAAUCAGUAAAACUGAGAUGCGGCGAAAGAGACAGAAGAGAAACAAAAAAGAGAGACAGAUGGGAAGCCAGAAAAUGAGAGUAUGAAAAAGAAUGAUUAAGUGAGAUAGAGAGACAAUGAGACAUUUUGAGACAGAGACAGAGCAAGAGAAAGCAAGCCAGAGGUGACCAGAGAAAGGAAAGAAAGUGUAACAUGGAGAAAUAAACUCAGAAUGAGAGAGAGAAUAAAAAAGAAAGUGAAAGAGACAGAGAGAGAGAGGAAAAUUUUAAUUCACUUCUCCAUGUGUGAAUAAAUUCAUAGGUGAAUUAAUUAAAUGCAGGUUUUGACAGUUUCUUUCAGCUGUUCUUACAUAUUGAGAUCAUUGGAAGGAGCCACUCAUUUGGAUAUUUAGCACAAUCCACAAACAUCUAUUUUAUGAUUUAAACCAGUUCCACUUGUGCAGUGACAAAGAGAGCCAUCUACACCCAGAGAGAGAACCACUGGAACAAAGUAUGGAACACAACAUAGCAUUUUCACUCUCUCUGUUAUUUGUUUGCAUUUUGUUUUCUUUCUCAGAUUUUCUUCUUUCUUGAUCUGAUUUUUCUUAUGCAGCAAGAUAACUGUAUAACUAUGUAUACAUAUAUUGGAUCUAACACAUAUUUUAACAUCUAUUGGAGUACCUGCCAGCUAGGAGAGGGGGUGGGGAGAAGGAGGGAAAAAUUUGGAACAAAAGGUUAUGCAAGGGUCAAUGCUGGUAAAAUUACCCAUGCAUAUGCUUUGUAAAUAAAAAGCUUUAAUUAAUAAAAUUAUUAUUUUUUUUAAAUCUCCGGUAAAGCAGAAGGGAGAAACCCGUUGGGGGAUUUUGCUUAUUUCUUUGCUUUUAAAAAUUGUUUUGCCAUCAGAAAUUGUGUCAGGAACACCUUGUUGUGGAUGUGAGGGACUUUCUCAGGGAGAGAGAGAAAGAAAAAGAGACAGAAAAAAAAAAGAGAGAAAAAGAAGAGUCAGAGAGAGAAAGACAAACAGAAACAGCGAGAUGAGAGACAGUGUGACAAAGAGACAGAGAAAGCAAGUCAGCAUGAGA